rnacentral:rRNA from 1 species
CUUAGCAUAUCAAUAAGCGGAGGAAAAGAAACCCACAGGGAUUGCCCCAGUAACGGCGAGUGAAGCGGCAACAGCUCAAAUUUGAAAUCUGGCCCCUCGGGCCCGAGUUGUAAUUUGUAGAGGAUGCUUUUGGCAAGGUGCCGCCCGAGUUCCCUGGAACGGGACGCCGCAGAGGGUGAGAGCCCCGUCUGGCUGGCCGCCGAGCCUCUGUAAAGCUCCUUCGACGAGUCGAGUAGUUUGGGAAUGCUGCUCAAAAUGGGAGGUAUAUGUCUUCUAAAGCUAAAUAUUGGCCAGAGACCGAUAGCGCACAAGUAGAGUGAUCGAAAGAUGAAAAGCACUUUGAAAAGAGGGUUAAACAGUACGUGAAAUUGUUGAAAGGGAAGCGCUCAUGACCAGACUUGGGCUUGGCGGAUCAUCCGGCGUUCUCGCCGGUGCACUUCGCCUCGCCCAGGCCAGCAUCAGUUCGCGCCGGGGGACAAAAGCUUCGGGAAUGUGGCUCCUCCGGGAGUGUUAUAGCCCGUUGCAUAAUACCCUGGGGCGGACUGAGGUUCGCGCAUCUGCAAGGAUGCUGGCGUAAUGGUCAUCAGCGACCCGUCUUGAAACACGGACCAAGGAGUCGUCUUCGUAUGCGAGUGUUCGGGUGUCAAACCCCUACGCGUAAUGAAAGUGAACGCAGGUGAGAGCUUCGGCGCAUCAUCGACCGAUCCUGAUGUUCUCGGAUGGAUUUGAGUAAGAGCAUACGGGGCCGGACCCGAAAGAAGGUGAACUAUGCCUGUAUAGGGUGAAGCCAGAGGAAACUCUGGUGGAGGCUCGCAGCGGUUCUGACGUGCAAAUCGAUCGUCAAAUAUGGGCAUGGGGGCGAAAGACUAAUCGAACCUUCUAGUAGCUGGUUUCCGCCGAAGU